rnacentral:rRNA from 1 species
GUCUAUGGCCAUGCCACCCUGAACAAGUCAGAUGUCUGAUCUCAGAAGCUAAGCAGGGUCAGGCCUGGUUAGUACUUGGAUGGGAGACCACUUAGGAAGACCAGGUGCUCCAGGCA